GGAUGUGAGGGUGAUCUGGCUGCAACGUCUGUCACCCCCUUGAUUACCAGGGUUGAUUCUGCUGAUCUCUCUGGCUAGGCGGGUGUCCCCUUCCUCCCUCACUGCUAACAUGUGCGUCCCUCCUGAAGUUACGUGCUCAGUCCCCCCUCAACGGCUUUUCCCGAAUAGAGACAGACCAACUGGUCUUCCAUCAAGAGUAUAUGAGUAGCUGCGCUCCUCUGCUAGAACCUCCAAACAAGCUCUCAAGGAAAUGUAAUAAAAAGUCACAUGAUACCACAAAGAAGCAGAGAAAACUACAGGAUAUGGAUAUAUUCCACAGGAAAACUAUUCAAUUU
rnacentral:snRNA from 1 species